rnacentral:lncRNA from 1 species
GAUAAUGAGGUAAUCAUAUGAAUAUGAACAUAUCUGGUGUGUGAUUGGUAUUGUUUGAUUUCAAUAGACUGUAAGGGAGAGAAGAGAGAGUGAUGUGAAGCUGAGCCUGAAGACAGCAGUUGAUGUGUCCGCCCCAGCUGGAGUGGUCAAGAUACUGAUACAACAGACUGAUAAACUGAGCUCUAAAGACCUGAGGGAAGUCAUGAUGGCCCAACCUUAGCUGGGCCUCCAGACAAGACAGAUGAAGGAGGCAUUCUUUGAGACCAGGGUUUGACAGGACAUCCAGGAGGAGAGAGCCAAUCAUCUCAGAUGGUUAGAAAAGGAGAGGUGAGGAAGGAGAGUGACUUUGCUACAGGCCAACCUAAGCUCUCUACCAGACGGGUCCUACAUAACAGGACAGGUAAGCAUGUCGAAGUCAAAAUGGACCUGUUUGCCUCUAAAAUGGCAUCAAAUGGAAUGCAUAUUGCUCCCCCCCCCCCCCCCGAGUAUGAGAGCUGCUUUCAUCCAUUUUCUUUUUCACAAUCAAAGCGUCUAUUCUGUUUGUACCUUCCAGGCACCGGUGGGCACGCCUUCCUUUUGCAUGUACUCCAGCAGUCAUCUGGAGAUCAGGCAAAGAGCUCUGAGGCUCUUCCAGCAGGCAGCCCGCAAGGUGGUGAUUCAAUGUCGUGUGAACAACAGACUGGUCUCGUUGAGGCAGCUGACUCAGAGCCUGUCCACAGGAGUAAGCGUUGA